rnacentral:rRNA from 1 species
GAGGGGUGCGAGCGUUAUUCGGAUUUAUUGGGCGUAAAGGGUGCGUAGACGGCAAAUUAAGUCUGUUGUUAAAUUUUCCGGCCUAACCGGAAGUCAGCGGUGGAAACUGGUUUGCUAGAGGAUGGAAGAGAGAAGUGGAAUUCCCGGAGUAGCGGUAAAAUGCGUAGAUCUCGGGAGGAACACCAAUGGCGAAGGCAGCUUCUUGGUACAUUCCUGACGUUGAGGCACGAAAGCGUGGGUAGCAAACAGGAUUAGAUACCCUGGGUAGUCCACGCCGUAAACGAUGAUCACUAGAUGUUGGUUUGGCUUAGCCCGGAUCAGUAUCGUAGCUAACGCAUUAAGUGAUUCGCCUGGGGGACUACGGUCGCAAGACUA